rnacentral:rRNA from 1 species
UACGGGGGGGGCAAGCGUUGUUCGGAAUUACUGGGCGUAAAGGGCUCGUAGGCGGCCAACUAAGUCGGAUAUGAAAUCCCCAGGCUUAACCUGGGAACUGCAUCCGAUACUGGAUGGCUUGAAUCCGGGAGAGGGAUGCGGAAUUCCAGGUGUAGCGGUGAAAUGCGUAGAUAUCUGGAGGAACACCGGUGGCGAAGGCGGCAUCCUGGACCGGCAUUGACGCUGAGGAGCGAAAGCCAGGGGAGCAAACGGG